rnacentral:lncRNA from 1 species
GUGAAGUACAAAGCCCAGUGUUCUCUGUCAGGGGGCAAUGGGUCAGCACCUCCCAGUGGACAAUGGGUGGGAAGUGGCCACUGAGAGAAAAGCUUCGAAUCCAGCUCAGCAGGCGCUUGAUGCUCCCCUAGACCCUUCCCCCUACUGAUUAUUCUUUGACUUUGUUUUCACAAUUCCUGGUCCACCCCCCAUGCACACAAUAGCUGAUCACAGCCCUCCAUUGAUUUAUAUGAGAAAGUCAACUAUAGGUCCAUGUGGCAAAGUCAAGGCUCCCCACACAGGGACUGAGUAAAGCCUUCAGUGUGAUUCGGAAACUCCCGUACACAGGACAAGAUGCAAAAUCGUCUUAAAUGGAAUUUCACUACUGAAUUCAGAGAUCUUGGCCUUUCUGUUUCUGCCAUUGCAUCUUCAUCGAGUUUAAAACCAUUUCAAAAAGAAAGUCCUUUGCAAGGCCUGAAAGCUCCAGCCAAACCUCACCUUCAAUUAUCAGGUGCCUCUUGCACUUAGAGACUCGCUUAGAAUUUUUAUAUCUGAGCAGAAUAAAGGAGAGACUAUAGGAAACAGGAAGUAGGCUGUGCCGAAUUGGGAAGGAGGUCUAGGGUUGGAGGAGAGGGAGGGUGAACAGGAAGAGGGAAUGGGAAGUAAAAGUCAAGGAGAUGCAAUAUGUUUACUUGCCGAUUCCUCAAGAUGAACCAAAUUAUUAGAUAUUGCACAAAAAUAGCUAAUAAAAAGGGAAUCAAAACAUUAUAUAUCUGAGUCUAAGAUCACAGUGAUUUCACCUUCCUUGUGGCUGAAGAUGAAUGAAUAUGUAAGCAAACAGAAGUAUGGAUUAGGGAAGAAGAACAAAAUGAUGGCCUGUGUCUGUAAGUGGAGCUGUGGGGACUUCCUGUACGUCGCCCCAGGAACCCUUCCAGCAACCCCUGUGCCCACAUUUUCAUUUCAACUCCACUCCACUGGGAGGCACCAGAGCAGCCAUGGA